rnacentral:rRNA from 1 species
AACGAACGCUGGCGGCAGGCCUAACACAUGCAAGUCGAACGCGUGUAGCGAUACACGAGUGGCAGACGGGUGAGUAACGCGUGGGAACAUACCCUUUGGUUUGGAAUAACUCAGGGAAACUUGAGCUAAUACCAGAUACGCCCCCGGACUUGUUCCGGGGGGAAAGAUUGAUUUGCCGAGGGAUUGGCCCGCGUCCGAUUAGCUAGUUGGUGAGGUAACGGCUCACCAAGGCGACGAUCGGUAGCUGGCUGAGAGGAUGAUCAGCCACAUUGGGACUGAGACACGGCCCAAACUCCUACGGGAGGCAGCAGUGGGGAAUAUUGGACAAUGGGCNCAAGCCUGAUCCAGCCAUGCCGCGUGAGUGAUGACGGCCCUAGGGUUGUAAAGCU